rnacentral:rRNA from 1 species
UACAGAGGUCCCCAAGCGUUGUUUCGGAUUCAUUGGGCGUAAAGGGUGUGUAGGUGGCGCCGUAAGUCGGGUGUGAAAUCUCGGGGCUUAACUCCGAAACUGCAUUCGAUACUGCGGUGCUUGAGGACUGGAGAGGAGACUGGAAUUCAUGGGUGUAGCAGUGAAAUGCGUAGAGAUCAUGAGGAAGACCAGUGGCGAAGGCGGGGUCUCUGGACAGUUCCUGACACUGAGACACGAAGGCCAGGGGAGCAAACGGG